UUGCGGAAUAUGGAACAUACG
rnacentral:misc_RNA from 1 species